rnacentral:rRNA from 1 species
AUUGAACGCUGGCGGAAUGCUUUACACAUGCAAGUCGAACGGUAGAGGGGGCAACCCCUCGAGAGUGGCGAACGGGUGAGUAAUAUAUCGGAACGUGCCCAGUCGUGGGGGAUAACGUAGCGAAAGUUACGCUAAUACCGCAUACGAACUACGGAUGAAAGCGGGGAUCGCAGGAACUCGCGCGAUUGGAGCGGCCGAUAUAAGAUUAGGUAGUUGGUGGGGUAAAGGCUCACCAAGCCAACGAUCUGUAGCGGGUCUGAGAGGGCGACCAGCCACACUGGAACUGAGACACGGGCCAGACUCCUACGGUAGGCAGCAGUGGGGAAGUUUGGACAAUGGACGCAAGUCUGAUCCAGCCAUUCCGCGUGCAGGAUGAAGGCCCUCGGGUUGUAAACUGCUUUUGUACGGAACGAAAAGGUCUCUCUUAAUACGGGGGACUCAUGACGGUACCGUAAGAAUAAGCACCGGCUAACUACGUGCCAGCAGCCGCCGUAA